CCGAGCAAUGGGAGCUCACCCCGUCGCAGGGAUUCGAACCGCCAACCUUCUGACUGGCAAGUCCUAGGCUCUGUGGUUUUAACCCACAGCACCACCCGCUGUUGAGUUAGUUGUGCAUUAUUACUGAAGCUUGUAAGUGCUGUGCUGAAUUCAUUUUUGUUACAUUUUUUAGUUCAUUGAUUCAUUGUGAUCAUCCUCUUCUCUAUGAUACUGAGUUUGGAGGCCCCUGCCUGAAACUUUGGAGAGCUGCUGCCAGUCUUACAUGGAGACUUCCAGCCUUACAGAGAGUACAAAGUUGCCACCCUACUGAAAUUCCUAUGCAACAUAUAUGAAGUGUUGGGUGCCCCCCCGGAGAAUAUUCUCAGUUUAUGCAGGUGGAAACAGGACUGGCCACUAGCACCCUGCAUGAAAUGACCAUGUGCUCUAAAACAAGUUCAAAACCCCCAUUUCCAAGCAAUACAAGGAUUCCUUGGAGGGACAGGGCUUUGAGAAGAAAGGAAAUUUCUGAUCUCAGCCAUUUCUGGCUCUUAUGAAGCAGGCAUUUAUCUACUUGCUGGUCUUCUUCGGUCGAUUCCUCUACAGAAUAUACGUUCAAAAAGGAUUUCAGUUUAAUUCAUAAACAGAAAUGUAGGGAAGCCAGCUGUUGCUGCGGAGAGGGGGGAGGAACUAAAAAAGAAAAAGAAAAAAAAGGAAUGCACGACAGCUUGACUUGCUGUUGACUUCUUAAGUGACCAGUUCAAAUAGCCAGGGGAUAUGUUAACUAAACCGACAACCAGAUUCCAGCGGGUGGAGGUUAUGACAACAUUUGUCUUUCCAGCUGUGCGCUUGCCAAAAUGGUCACAGGCAAAUCUCUCCCGCUUCUGGAGCCAGCCUCUACCACACACUGUAGUUCUGUGUUUUUCAUUCAUUCAGCCGGUUGCUGAACUGUCACACAAUUCAAUCACUGGGUGAAAGACCAAUUAUGGAACAGUCAUAGUGCGCAUUUUUAAAGGCCAAAUUAGAUUUACUUAUUAUAACCAAGAAUGUGUAUCUGUGCCCUUUGGCAAUUGUGGGGAGAAGUGUGGGGGAGAAGAUUCAGAUGUAAACUAAUCCAUUGAACAAAAAGAAAAAGGGAAAAACACAGAAGGGACAUACAUAUGAAGCUGCUUAAUGCUGAAUGAGACCAUUUGCCCUUCCAGUCCAGGGACUGAUUCUGACCAACAGCUGUUCUCCAAAAUCUCAAGUGGGGAUCUUUUUUAGACUUGAUUUCUUUUAGUGGCAGUACAAGGGAUUGAAACUGAGAUCUUCUGCCUGGAAGGCAUGUGCCCAUCCCCAACAUUGCACUGUUUUACACAAGCAGUGCUUAACUCGAGACGGGUCUUGUGAGGCUUAGCUGCACCACCUGUUUUCAAUGCCAGAGCAUGAAUCCAUGGCAUUGAAAGAAGGGAAUAACUUUGAGUGUCUUCCUCCACUUUGAUGUUUCUACAUCUUGUUCCUCACAUAGGAAGGAUUUAGAGGGUCAAUGGGGGAUGACUUCUACAUGGCUUAGAGCAGGCAUCCCCAAACUUCGGCCCUCCAGAUGUUUUGGACUACAAUUCCCAUCUUCCCCGACCACUGGUCCUGUUAGCUAGGGAUCACGGGAGUUGUAGGCCAAAACAUCUGGAGGGCCGCAGUUUGGGGAUGCCUGGCUUAGAGGCUUGAUGCCCUUUUGUUUUACAGCUCAGUGGUAACAAUGCUCCUGGCUCACAACCAACCUUACGAAAGUGUCCAUUGCAAAAUGGUCCAGGCAACAUUUGAUACAAAUGUCCCCAUGUUCAGAGGUUACUGUAGGUGGGUAGCUACUGGACAGAGGACCUUUUCUGUUGUUCCACCAUCAUUGUGGAACACCCUCUCUGUCUAGCAUCAUUUUUAAUAAUUAUUUACAUGUGUGCUAGAUCCAUCUGCUUUCUCUUGCUUUUAAUACUGAACAUUGAUCCAAUGUUAACCUGCCUCCUAUUUUUUACCUUUUAGUUUUAGAUCAGCUGGGAUCAAGCUUCCAUAGCGUAAACCAGGGGUGGCUAAUCUCUAGCCCUCCAGACUUUGUUGGACUACGAUUCCUACCAUCCCUAAGCCCUUAGCCAUGUUGACAGGCUGGUAGGAGUUGGUCCUUCAACAUCUAGAGGGCUACAUCUGCUCUAAACAGAUAAUGACCUUUAGAAGACUCAAUAGAGCCUUCAGCAACUUGUAAACAGAAAAGAAGGCUCAGGAAGUAAUCCUUGGUGUCAUAAGUGGGGAGUUACAACCAUCUCUGUGCUUUCAUAUGUGAAAUGAGGGAGGGUAUGAGACUGGGGCUAACAGUUAAGGGAAGGGCCUUCGCUCAAUGGCACAUUGCUAUGCAAAAGGCCAUAGGUUCAAUUCUUAGUAUCUCCUAGUAGGGCCGGGAAUGUGUCCCUAUCCGAAACAUUGGAGACCUGAUGCCAAAUGAUGUUGAAAAUAUUGACCUAGAAAGGAGAAAUGAUCUGACUUUUUAUAAAGCAGCUUCGUAUGGACUGGAGUCAUUUUCUGAGUCUCUCAGGGGAAAGCUUGUCUCAUCCCUUAUUUUGGCAGGGGCAUAGUUGAUGUUGAUGCUAAGAAUUGGGAUUACGGCAUUUCAAUACUUCUUUCUUCAUAUAUUGUUCAGGCUUGAUAUUUUUAAUCCCACACAUGUGUUUUUCCACAUUUCUCUCUCUCUCUCUAAAUGGUUGUUGGUGAGCCCUUUCUCUAGCUCAGUACAAGGCAGGUACCUAUGAGCCACAGUCGGGCCUAGGAAGAAGAUGUUUCAUAAAUGGUGCAAGAAUGUGUUGUUUUGGGUUAUUUGGCCACUGUGUCUUUUGAAUAGUCAAGUCUUGGACCAGAAUACUCCUGUAAAAGCUACCUGUUGAAGGAGCAAGACUUAGUCUGACCCCUGUGUUUUUCCUCCCUCAUGGUUUGGAUUUAUGGACUACUUAAAAUGAGGCUGCAUUUUAAAUUUUAAUAUUGUAUUUUAAUCUGUAUUUUAAUUAAUUGCUUUUUAUGUUUUAUUGUAAUUUUAUUGGCAUUAGCCGACCU